GAUGAACGCUGACAGAAUGCUUAACACAUGCAAGUCAACUUGAACUUCGGUUUGGGUGGCGGACGGGUGAGUAACGCGUAAAGAACUUGCCUCACAGAUAGGGACAACAUUUGGAAACGAAUGCUAAUACCUGAUAUUAUGAUUAUAUGGCAUCGUAUAAUUAUGAAAGCUAUAUGCGCUGUGAGAGAGCUUUGCGUCCCAUUAGCUAGUUGGAGAGGUAACGGCUCACCAAGGCGAUGAUGGGUAGCCGGCCUGAGAGGGUGAUCGGCCACAAGGGGACUGAGACACGGCCCGUACUCCUACGGGAGGCAGCAGUGGGGAAUAUGGGACAAUGGACCAAGAGUCUGAUCCAGCAAUUCUGUGUGCACGAUGAAGUUUUUCGGAAUGUAAAGUGCUUUCAGUUGGGAAGAAAAAAAUGACGGUACCAACAGAAGAAGUGACGGCUAAAUACGUG
rnacentral:rRNA from 1 species